rnacentral:lncRNA from 1 species
GCCUGUCAGCAUCGGCGAAGAAAUAAUUCUGAAACGUCGACCUGGAUACCAAAAUAAAUGGUAACGCAGGGAUAACCAUGGCCUGAACACCACUUAUCCGCUCGGGAUUAUUAUUCUCUUUUUCUUUUUAUGCUUUUCUUGAACCCCGAAAAUUUCUUUUCUCUUUUUCAUUUUCUUGAACCCCGAAAUUUUUUCGCGCAAACGAUCC